GACGCCGCACUGCCGAUUUCCCCCUCGGGCGAGCCAUCGGAGCGGGGGCCGUUGGCUCCCAAAGCAGACGCGAGAAUUCACUGAAAUUACCGCGCCAUCUUAUCUCCGCAAGUUGAAGAAUAUAAUUCGGGCGCAGUAAUUUUUAGUGAAUUCAUGUGUCUACUACUACAUAUGUCUGCUUGGGAGCCAACCGCGUUUCGAUGGCUCGCCUGAGGGGAAAUCGGCGGGAGGCGUUUG
rnacentral:pre_miRNA from 1 species